rnacentral:rRNA from 1 species
CGAAGAAUUUUCGGCAAUGGGCGCAAGCCUGACCGAGCAACGCCGCGUGUGUGAUGAAGUCCCUAGGGAUGUAAAGCACUGUCGGAGGGGAUGAAUAAAUGACAGUACCCUCCAAGAAAGCCCCGGCUAACUACGUGCCAGCAGCCGCGGUAAUACGUAGGGGGCGAGCGUUAUCCGGAUUUACUGGGCGUAAAGCGCGUGUAGGCGGUUGCGUAAGUUAGUUGUGAAAUCCCUCGGCUCAACCGAGGAACUGCAGCUAAUACUGCGCGGCUGGAGUGGCAGAGAGGAAAGUGGAAUAUCCGGUGUAGUAGUGAAAUGCGUAGAUAUCGGAUGGAACACCAGUGGCGAAGGCGACUUUCUGGCUGCUAACUGACGCUGAGACGCGAAAGCUAGGGGAGCGAACGG